GUCUGUGUGAUAUUAAUACAUAGUCUAACCUGCCCACUGAAAUUUUUAAAGGGCCGCGGUAUUUGAACCGUGCUAAGGUAGCAUAAUAAAUAGUCUUUUAAUUGAGGUCUAGUAUGAAUGGUUGGACAUGAAGUAAGCUGUUUUAAUGAUAAAAAUUGAAUUUUACUUUUAAGUGAAAAGGCUUAAAUUUAGUGGUGGGACGAUAAGACCCUAUAAAGCUUUAUAUUUUAUUUGUAGGUUGGAUGAUGUAAGGUUUUAAAUGCCUUUGAGUGGAGUAUUUCGUUGGGGCGAUGAAAAUAAAAGAUGUAACUGUUUUUGUGUAAAAAUAAAUAUUAUUAGGGAUUUGAUCCUUUUUAGAGAUUAUAAGAGUUAAGUUACUUUAGGGAUAACAGCGUAAUUUUUUUUGAGAGUUCAUAUCGACAAAAAUAGUUGCGACCUCGAUGUUGAAUUAAGAUAUUACCAAGGAGUAGAAGUUUUGGUGGUAGGUCUGUUCGACCUUUAAAAUCUUACAUGAUUUGAGUUCAGACCGGCGUG
rnacentral:rRNA from 1 species